AUGAGUUGCUUGAGCUGGAACUGCCGAGGGCUUGGGAACCCUACGACAGUUCGAGAGCAUCGCUGUGUGGUGAAGCAGGAAGGGCCCGGUCUCCUUUUUGUUAUGGAGACAAAAAUUUCAGCUAAAAGAGUAGAGAAUCUGCAGAACCUCUUGGGUUUUGCAGGAUGUUUUGCGGUGGAUAGUACUGGCCUAAGUGGUGGUAUUGGUCUGUUUUGGUCGGAUGAGCUGGAGGUGGAGUUG
rnacentral:rRNA from 1 species